AACGCACAUUGCGCCCUUUAGUAUUCUGAAGGGCAUGCCUGUUCGAGCGUCAUUAUCACUAAUCAAGCCUGGCUUGCUGUUGGACCUCUUGUCGUUAAAGCGACAGGUCCUAAAGACAAUGACGGUUGUUAAUUAGACCCCAGAUGCAACGAGCCUUCAUUAGCACGCAUGAUAGGUGGCCUUUUUAACCCGGUCUUUUUUAACCAAUCUUACAAGGUUGACCUCGGAUCAGGUAGGAAUACCCGCUGAACUUAA
rnacentral:misc_RNA from 1 species